CUGAGGUGUGACCUCAGAUAAGGUAACUGAGGCCCAGAGAAGUGGAGCGGCUUACUCAAGGUCACACAGCAGACAUGUGACACCUCAGUUCUUCCUCUGCACCCUAAAACUGGAAACCUGUUCUGUGGGUUCCACGGAGCGGAAGCAGUGCCCGUGCCCCCAGGGACCGGAGAGGGAAACACCGCUGGAGAAAUGCCGCAAG